AUACGAUGCCAAAUUCAUGAAACUCAACAUCUCAACUCAGAUUGUCAGGGUUCUAAAUAAUGCAUGUCCAAAUAUUUCAAUAUCCAAAACUUCAAACUCAUAAUGAUAACUACUUUUCCCUCCAGAAAAAAAAUACAUAAAAAGACAUGUUCAAGCACAACAAUGAACUCAACGGUAUCUGCGGAGGGAGAGAGUGUUGUUUCUCUUCCAGGUUGCCCUGCGAGAAGGACGAUUCUUGUGGUGCAAAUGUCCCUUUCCCCGUAGACCCCUGUACUUCUUCCCAGCGGAAGUGAGGCCCCUGAGCUCUCUGUGCUUGUGAACAGGAUUGCAGAGCCA
rnacentral:misc_RNA from 1 species